GGGUAACCUGCCCUAUGCUGGAUAAUAACCUCGGGAAACUGAGUAUAAUGAUCCAUAGUUCACUACGCCUGGAACGGUGAGUGGAUGAAAGCUCCGGCGGCAUAGGAUGGGCCUGCGGCGUAUCAGGUUGUAGGGGGUGUAACGUACCCUCUAGCCCUCUACGCGUACGGGUGUUGGGAGACAUAGCCCGGAGAUGGAUUCUGAGACACGAAUCCAGACCCUACGGGGUGCAGCAGGCGCGAAAACUUGGCAAUGCGAGAAAUCGUGACCAGGGAACUCCAAGUGCAUCGGGUAAGACCGGUGCUUUUCUUGACUCUAAAUAGGUCUUGGAAUAAGGGGUGGGUAAGGACGGUGCCAGCCGCCGCGGUAAUACCGGCGCCUCAAGUGGUAGUCGCUUUUAUUGGGCCUAAAACGUCCGUAGCCGGUCUGAUACAUUCGUGGGUAAAUCAACCAGCUCAACUGGUUGAAUUCUGCGAGGACGGUCAGACUUGGGACCGGGAGAGGUGUGGGGUACGCUCAGGGUAGGGGUAAAAUCCUGUCAUCCUGAGCGGACCACCUGUUGCGAAGGCGCCACACUAGAACGGAUCCGACGGUCAGGGACGAAGCCUAGGGGCACGAACCGGAUUAGAUACCCGGGUAGUCCUAGGUGUAAACGCUGUGGACUUGAUGUUGGGGGUGCUCCGAGCACUCUCAGUGUC
rnacentral:rRNA from 1 species